rnacentral:rRNA from 1 species
AGUGAACGCUGGCGGCAGGCCUAAUACAUGCAAGUCGAACGGCAGCACAGCAGAGCUUGCUCUGUGGGUGGCGAGUGGCGGACGGGUGAGGAAUACAUGGGAAUCUGCCCAGUCGUGGGGGAUAACGUAGGGAAACUUACGCUAAUACCGCAUGCGCCCUUCGGGGGAAAGCCGGGGACCUUCGGGCCUGGCGCGAUUGGAUGAGCCCAUGUCGGAUUAGCUAGUUGGCGGGGUAAAGGCCCACCAAGGCGACGAUCCGUAGCUGGUCUGAGAGGAUGAUCAGCCACACUGGAACUGAGACACGGUCCAGACUCCUACGGGAGGCAGCAGUAGGGAAUAUUGGACAAUGGGCGCAAGCCUGAUUCAGCCAUGCCGCGUGAGUGAAGAAGGCCUUCGGGUUGUAAAGCUCUUUUGUUCCCGGAAAGAAAAACCUUAGGGUUAAUACCCUGAGGUUCUGACGGUACCGGAAGAAUAAGCACCGGCUAACUUCGUGCCAGCAGCCGCGGUAAU